AGCAGCCGCGGUAAUUCCAGCUCCAAUAGCGUAUAUUAAAGUUGUUGCAGUUAAAAAGCUCGUAGUUGAAUUUCGGGAUCAGUACGCUGGUCGUGCCUUCGGUAUGAACUGGUGUCACUGGUUCCUCCCUUCUGAAGAACCGUCAUGCCAUUCAGUUGGUGUGGCGGGGAAUCAGGACUGUUACUUUGAAAAAUUAGAGUGUUUAAAGCAGGCUCGCGCUUGAAUACAUUAGCAUGGAAUAAUGAAAUAGGACGUUUGACCCUAUUUUGUUGGUUUCUAGGAUCGACGUAAUGAUUAAUAGGGAUAGUUGGGGGCAUUAGUAUUCAAUUGUCAGAGGUGAAAUUCUUGGAUUUAUUGAAGACUAACUACUGCGAAAGCAUUUGCCAAGGAUGUUUUCUAUUAAUCUAAGAACGAAAAGUUAGGGGAAGUCGAAGGGCGAUCAGAUACCGUCGUAGUCUUAACCAUAAACUAAUGCCGACUAGGGA
rnacentral:rRNA from 1 species